ACGUGUAUUCUCUUUUUUACUAACAGAAUUACAUACACAAUUUUCCAUCGGGGGGCCCACACGGAUUAUAGCAAAUACACAUUUUUACCAUCACCAUUUAUGAGGUCCACGAAUUCACACAUUAGAGAAACUUUAUACAUAAUAUAUAUUCACAUAUUCAUUAACAAAAAGGACCUUCUUCUCCAUAAGAUACACAUAUAAAGCUACAUUAUUGGCAUCUUCAUUCUUCUUCUCCAUAAUCCAUACACAACAACACUCACGGACCCACAGAAUUCCACACACCACAAUACACCACAUAUAGACGGCUUCUUCUUCACCAUCAUUUACGCCAUAUACACCAUAUGCACAAACACCUCACGACAUAUACAUUACACACACAAUUCAAUUUAGGGAGAUUCUAUUUUCUUCUCCUCUUCGCUAGUGCACACAGAAGGAAACGACAACAAUUCACGCACACCCAAUCUCAACACCACACCAUUCCCACAAAAAACCUCAUAUUGAUACACACUCACAGACGCACACAGUGAGAGUAAAUCGAAGUGAGCGAAAUAGAGAUAUGGGAGGGUGAGAGAGAUGAGGCGGCAGAGAGAAAGUAAUGGAGAGAUAAAGAGAGUAACAAAGAGAGUAAAACCCAUAGUUACGAAGGACGCCAUUUUUUGAGGGGGUUCUUUUCUUCACAAGAAUCAGAGGAGAGAAUAGGAUAAGAAAUAGAGAAGGGGGAAUUAUUAGAGUACGUGCCCUACUGAUCAGUGACUUUAACGUAAGAGUUUCCUAUAGAUGAAAUGGGCUUCCUGACGCGUUCCAAGGAUGUAGUAAAACAGAAAGUAAUGAACACAAUGAUUUUUACGUGUAAAACACCUAGCUCAAAAAGGUGUAAAAAACCACGACCUGCACCUCUACAGUAUUUAACCCCAACUUCACUAAAUAACUCUGAGCCUUAACAACGACUGAUUACAAAACUCUUGUAACCAACAAAUAGGAAUUAUAAACUCUAAUUUCUUUAACUCAACGACUAGGAAUUAUAAACUCUAAUUCUUAACUAUACACAUACCUCCCAAGGUAUGCGUUCCCAAAGUCUCUGAGUUUUUCCCAACUCGAAGACUAGCUUCUAGUUCAGUUUAUAACACAUUGAAACUAAUAUUACAUCAAUAGUUCAAAUACAAUGAACAAAUCUAAAAAUCAAUGCUAAAGCUCUUAGCUGGAUUCUAUACUUAGGACCAGGUUCUUCAAUGUGUUUUUUCAUUGAUUGAGUAGCACUUUAUGAAGUCAAUCUGUCGAUUGUUAUUUUCUUCUUUGUAAGUGCGUGAGUUUAUUCUGAUUGAUGCAUCUUUUAUUUAAGCACAACUCUUUAAAGAGUUAUUCUUUAUUUCAAACUGCCCC
rnacentral:lncRNA from 1 species